AUGGAGAAUCAGAACCUCUCUGUGCUGAAUGAGUUCAUUCUCAUGGGCAUUACAGACCGCCCUGAACUACAGGCUCCUUUUUUUUGUACUGUUCUUUCUCAUCUAUGUCGCCUCCAUGGUAGGAAAUUUAGGCAUGGUCGUCCUUACCAAGUUGGAUGAGAGGCUACAAACACCUAUGUACUUUUUUCUCAGACAUCUAGCUUUCAUUGAUUUUGGCUAUUCAACAGCUGUGGGACCAAAAAUGUUGGUAAACUUUGUAACAAAUAAAAAUACCAUAUCCUACAAUUGGUGUGCAUUCCAGCUAUCUUUGUUCAUCUUCUUCAUCAUUAGUGAGUUAUUUGUUCUGUCAGCUAUGGCCUAUGACCGCUAUGUGGCCAUUUGCAACCCCCUGCUCUACACUGUCAUCAUGUCACAGAAAGUCUGCUGGGUAUUGGUGACAAUUCCUUAUCUCUUCAGUGCCUUUCUUUCUCUGAUCACCACCAUCAAAAUUUUUAUUUCAUCCUUCUGUGGCCAUAAUGUUAUUAGCCAUUUCUACUGUGACAGUCUCCCUUUGCUGACCUUGAUCUGUUCAGACACACGUGACAUUGAACUUAUCAUAUUGAUAUUUUCAGCAUUUAAUUUGGUUUCAUCCCUUUCUGUAGUACUUGUGUCCUACAUCUUUAUCCUGGUAGCCAUCCUCAGGAUGAACUCUGCAGAGGGCAGACACAAGGCUUUCUCUACCUGUGGGUCUCACCUGACAGUGGUAGUUAUAUUAUAUGGGACUCUGUUUUUUAUGUAUGUACAGCCCAAAUCUAGUCACUCUUUUGAAAAUGAUAAAAUGGCCUCUGUGUUCUACACCUUGGUAAUUCCUGUGCUGAAUCCCAUUAUCUACAGCUUGAGAAAUAAAGAGGUAAAAGGUGCCCUUCUAAAGCUAUGGAAAAAUGUCUGUAAAAUUUGUAUUUAA